UAUUCCCUACCUCACAUUUUAUUUCACUCCAUAUGCCCCUAGCUAGUCCAUAUUUAAGCAUGCUUGAGCCUCGACCUUUCUUCUCCGUGUAAGAUCACCCACACAGAAAGGUUAACAUCUUAGCUGCAUCUGGCUGAGAAAAUUAAUCGAAGAGAAUGAAGUUUGUGGUGAUUACACUAGUGUUGAUGCUGGCAAGCUCUUCUAUGGCUAUAGAUAGGAAGAAAUUCGUGACCAAAUUGGACGAGGGAGAACUGAGUAAUGAAACUGAUGAUAAUGAUCACCAUGAAAUCCCUCGCAAGGAGUAUGGCAAACCAGGAUAUGGCCCACGUACAGUGAGUGAGGAGGGUAAUCACCAUUACAUCCCUCGCAAGGACUAUGGGAAACCUGGCCAAGAAGGAAAAGGAACGUGAUUUGUAGAUGAAGGAUGCAUCUUAUGUCUGUAUAUAUGCACACAAGUCUUAAGUGUUUGAUGAGUAAUAAUGAAUGCUAUAUAGAUAUGUGUGUUGGUAAGAUAUGCAUGCAACGAAUUACUGUGAUUAAUUUAGCAAAUUAUGUUGAGGAUGUACGUGUCCAAUGUCCAUAUCGGUUCGUAAUUAAGAAUGUAUGAGUUGGAACCCUAGGUAAAGCUAUGUUUGUGAUUCUAUAUAUAUAUAUGAUCAUAGCUAGCUAGCUCUGGUGUCGCAAUAGAAUCAUAGUUUAGUUUGUUUAAUGAAUAAAGAAGACUUGGUUUGAUUAAUUGUA